AGAUCCCACUUCCUGUCCCACCCAGCCCCAAAUGUCCGUGGAACCGGCCCCACUAACCUGCAUCCAGCUGCCUCUUCCACCUGGGCCCUGCUCUCAGAUGGAAGUGUCACCAAACACCCAGAUCGCCGUGCUCCUGCUUCUCUGGGUUCAAUGAGACCCUCCACCCAGAUGAGCAUGAGCCCAGCCAGGGUGGGCUGUUCAGUUUCUUCCCUGGGAAUCUGGAGCUGGAUUGAGCUGGUCUGCAGAGUGGACACAACCUGAAAACCAACUGGACUGAGCAUCCUUCUCCUAAAAUCUCAGCCAGAAGCCACGAUGGAGGGUCCUGGGAAGGGAAGAGAUGUGAAGAUUUCUGUGAUUCUAAAACCUUGGGUCUGCCUGCAAACUUCUCUCUGAUCCCAGCCGAGAGCUGUGCACACGCUAGCUAGCCCUGUCACACAAUAGCCCAGUGUUCCCGUCACAGUGCCUGGGAAUGAGAGGCUUUUGAGGCCACAGAGCUAUGACAAGUCCCCAGGUUGAAUUGACUCUGGGAGGACAAAUUUCUGAGAGACUCACGGGACCCUUAUCCAGGACAACCUCACAAAGAUCCCUGAAACUGAGCUUCCUCUGCUUCGUGCAUAGUUUGAGGUAUAAACUUUCCUUGUGUCUCGGUCAGAUGAAGUGAAGGAUGAAUAUUAUCCCAGGCUAAAGUAACGAAAAGUCCAGAAGCCAGCGAUGACAGAGAUGUGUGUGGAAGAAGGCUGUGAGCAUUUCCAUCAAACCCUGUGAGUUUCCGAAGAUCUUAUCCCGAAGAUAUGUGUUUGGCCAAUAAAACACUGAAUAAAAAUCCAUCAUGUUUCCAGAGCCAAGUCGACUUCUGCUGGGCUGGGGUGAGGCAGAGGCAGAAUCAGACCUUAUAAAGAUGUUUUGAAUAGCGGCUGUUCUGGGAUCGCAGCCCAGUGACAGUGAAUGCUUUCUGAGUUCUCGGAUGAGAAGGAACAGAGUGACAGACUGACCAUAACUGGCCACUGUGGUGUGUGCUCAGCUCCAGACCAGCACCUUAUUUGGUGGGGGGAGAGGGUUCAAGGCCCCAGCGAGACAGUGAGUCCUGGUAGGGAAGGAACUCUGGCCAAGCUGCAGGCUGUGCAGUGGAGUGGGUUAGGAGGGGCCCUCGGGGAGGGAAGAACAAGGAGAGAGGGAAGUGAGAGGAAAGGAGGUUUCUCCUUCAUCUAAAUCCCAAGUAUACACCCUUCUAAGGUCUGUUCUGGCCCUUCCCUAGGGAGUGCCUUCCCCUCUACCUGCCAGGUCCCAUAGAUAAGGAUGUCCUCCCCUGCAGGCGCCUGGCCUCCAUCACAGCAUGCCCACUCUGUGCCCGCUGCAACCUCCUCUGACUCUCCCACUAGACCGGUGCCUGGUACACAUGCUCCUGCGUGCAUGAACAUCGGUCAGCUAUGGGUCCUCAAGAUGACAAAACCCCCUGCUCCUGUGUCCUCACGGGGAUCUGCACCAGCACUGGGCUGAACACUCUCCCUGCAAUCUGUCAGUCACGUCUUCUGUAGCAUUUUCUUUCUGGCAACAACGGUUGGGGUCAUUAAAAGUGUCUUUGAAAUGCAA
rnacentral:lncRNA from 1 species